rnacentral:rRNA from 1 species
AUUGAACGCUGGCGGCAUGCCUUACACAUGCAAGUCGAACGGUAACAGGUCUUCGGAUGCUGACGAGUGGCGAACGGGUGAGUAAUACAUCGGAACGUGCCUAGCAGUGGGGGAUAACUACUCGAAAGAGUGGCAAAUACCGCAUGAGACCUAAGGAUGAAAGCAGGGGAUAGCAAGACCUUGUGCUACUAGAGCGGCCGAUGGCAGAUUAGGUAGUUGGUGGGAUAAAAGCUUACCAAGCCGACGAUCUGUAGCUGGUCUGAGAGGACGAUCAGCCACACUGGGACUGAGACACGGCCCAGACUCCUACGGGAGGCAGCAGUGGGGAAUUUUGGACAAUGGGCGCAAGCCUGAUCCAGCAAUGCCGCGUGCAGGAUGAAGGCCUUCGGGUUGUAAACUGCUUUUGUACGGAACGAAAAGCCCUGGGUUAAUACCCUGGGGUCAUGACGGUACCGUAAGAAUAAGCACCGGCUAACUACGUGCCAGCCGCCGCGGUAAUAC